GCAGCGGUGAUUCAGUGGUAGAUUUCUCACCUUCCAUGCAAGAGACCUGGGUUCAUUUCCUGGCCAAUGCA
rnacentral:tRNA from 1 species